CCGAAGGAAGGGGAUGCGAUCCACUUUUCGCGUUUUUCUUUCUCGUUUCUCUGCCGGGGUUGAUACUACGAGGUCGAGGGCGAUGCUUCGUGAUCACAGAACAUGAGUGAGAAGUGAUAAAGUGGCCGAGAAGAGGAAUUUAGGUGAUAAGUGGAAGAAGAGAUGAGGAUGGCGAAGUAACGGCUGUCGGGCUGUCGACUUAUUUUCGUUUAUUAUUUGUGGUUCGAGUGAGUUUGUUUUUUUCUUGCGUCUUUCGGGAGUUCGAAAGGAAAGUCUAAGAAGAAACCUGUAAUAACUGUCUACUUGGAAGGUGAUGCUGAGCUAGAACAAUGGACAUCCUCACCUUCGCCGCCAACGCUGUGUUCAGCUCCGACCAAGAGGAAGAGCUGUGCAUCCCCCUCACGCCCACGAAGGGAAGAAGGCCCGUCUUCGGAGAGCUCACCAACACGAUCAACCUUUCCCCGGAGAAGCUCAACGACUCCUCCUCGCUCAGAGCUCUCUUCACGGCGCCCACGC